rnacentral:lncRNA from 1 species
UUUUUUUUUUUUUUUUUUUUUUUUUUUUUUAAUAGAGAAAAAGGUAAUAUAUUCUUAGUUAGAAAUAUGAAGCAACUAGACUUCGAACUUAGAACUUCGGAUGCCAAUCACCAAGCCUCUUUCCACUUACGCUAACGGUAUGUUUGGUUGCCCGUAAAUGAAACAAUAAAAGUGGGUUAUUUCGGUUGUUUGGAUUAUAAAAGUAAAUAUGUAAAUUACUUUAAAAAGUGAAUCCAUAAAGUGGAUUAUAACUAAAAUUUACUUUUUUGAUUUCGGCGAAGAAAAUUCUGAAGUCGUUGAAAGUGGGCCGCCUACUCCACGCGACUUACGAACUGCAUCCAAAAACCUUUUUCCAUACCAUCUACAAAUAAUAAAAAAAUAAAAAAUAAAACAAAACCACUAUACCUUAAUAAAAAAAAAAACCCAACACAUUUAAAAAAAAAAAAACAAAACAAA